GACGAACGCUGGCGGCGUGCUUAACACAUGCAAGUCGAACGGAAAGGCCCUGCUUUUGUGGGGUGCUCGAGUGGCGAACGGGUGAGUAACACGUGAGUAACCUGCCCUUGACUUUGGGAUAACUUCAGGAAACUUGGGCUAAUACCGGAUAGGAGCUCCUGCUGCAUGGUGGGGGUUGGAAAGUUUCGGCGGUUGGGGAUGGACUCGCGGCUUAUCAGCUUGUUGGUGGGGUAGUGGCUUACCAAGGCUUUGACGGGUAGCCGGCCUGAGAGGGUGACCGGCCAAAUUGGGACGGAGAUACGGCACAGACUACAACGGGAGGCAGCAGUGGGGAAGAUUGCACAAGGGGCGGAAGCCUGAUGCAGCAACGCCGCGUGCGGGAUGACGGGCUUCGGGUUGUAAACCGAUUUCGCCUGUGACGAAGCGUGAGUGACGGUAAUGGGUAAAGAAGCACCGGCUAACUACGUG
rnacentral:rRNA from 1 species